GCGCAGAGGUGGGGCAUCCUACUGUAGGUUCAAGAAAAUGUAUUAUCUUUUAUUAAAAAACUGUGUUGGGACUUCACUCCAGCAUAUAACCUCAGCAACAAUGGCUCUCUACGGAGUUAUUUUACUUUCUGCUCUGACAGGAUAGUAAAUUCAUGUAUUACUGUCAUUAUUUUUACAACAUUGUUUCGGUUAAUUUAUAGUUUAUCUGCGCUAUUGGAUUAAGGAAUAAAUACCAAGAUAUUUCCUCAUUUCAAAUACAUUUCUCUUGUAAUUGAUCUGUCACCUAUUCAUAUUUGUCGGUGACAGUUUUCAGCAGACCUUCCAGACAAACUAACAUGAAGUGUAUGAAGAGGAGGGCAGUAAUGUUCAGCUUUCCUGCUACUACACUCAGCAUACAGUGUUUUGUGGUAUAAACAGUAUCCGACAACCAUACAACACUCUGCACUAUACUGCUGUGCUGUGACAUCCACAAUGAUGCAAAAUUUACUGACUCAGCAGUGAGCUGAAUUUUAUGGAUUUACAAGUAUCUGCUGUCGUCUGUUAGACACCAGUGCCAUUAAUCGGAGUCUCUAGUGAAAAAAUCAAAUGUAUAUGAAACAUCUUUGAUUCUACAUUGUCAGUAGGAGGAGGUUGAGUAAAAAAACUCAGGAUUAGAUCAUGAAUCCUCAAGAUAAGACAUGAUACUACCAUGAAGAACAUAGACAGUUGAUGCUGUGCUUUUCAACAGCAGCUGGUGCUUCUUCUACACAUCCUGCCAUCUACAAUGUUGUUCUGUUCACUAUUACUCUUCUUUGACUUGAAAGUGUCCAAAGAAGGGCCAGAAGUACACAGAAUGGUGUCGUCUGCGUAGAGGUGGAUCAGAGACUUACCAGCAGCAAGAGCGACAUCAUUGAUGUAUACAGAGAAGAGAGUCGGUCCAAGAAUUUAACCCUGUGGCACCCCCAUAGAGACUGCCAGAGGUUCGGACAACAGACCCUCCAAUUUGACACACUGAACUCUAUCAGAGAAGUAGUUGGUGAACCAGGUGAGACAAUCAUUUGAGAAACCAAGGCUGUCGAGUAUGCCGAUGAGGAUGUGGUGAUUGACAGAGAGCCUUGGCCAGAUCAAUGAAUACGGCUGCACAGUAAUGUUUCUUAUCGAUGGCGGUUAAGAUAUCGUUUAGGACCUUGAGCGUGGCUGAGGUGCACCCAUGACCAGCUCUGAAACCAGAUUGCACAGCAGAGAUGGUAUGGUGAGAUUCAAAAUGGUCGGUAAUCUGUUUGUUGACUUGGCUUUCGAAGACCUUAGAAAGGCAGGGUAGGAUAUAUAUAGGUCUGUAGCAGUUUGGGUCAAGAGUGUCACCCCCUUUGAAGAGAGGGAUGACCGCAGCUGCUUUCCAAUCUUUGGAAAUCUCAGACGAUGCGAAAGAGAGUUUGAACAGGCUAGUAAUAGGAGUGGCAACAAUUUCGGCAGAUAAUUUUAGAAAGGAACGGUCCGGAUUGUCUAGCCCGGCUGAUUUGUAGGGGUCCAGAUUUUGCAGCUCUUUCAGAACAUCAGCUGACUGGAUUUGGGAGAAGGAGAAUAUGGAAGGCUUGGGCGUGUUGCUGUGGGGGGUGCAGUGCUGUUGACUGGGUAGCCAGGUGGAAUGCAUGCCCAGCCGUAGAAAAAUGCUUAUUGAAAUUCUCAAUUAUAGUGUAUUUAUCAGUGGUGACAGUGUUUCCUAUCUUCAGUGUAGUGGGUAGCUGGGAGGAGGUGUUCUUAUUCUCCAUGGACUUUACAGUGUCUCAGAACCUUUUUGAGUUAGUGUUGCAGGAAGCAAAUUUCUGCUUGAAAAAGCUGGCCUUGGCUUUUCUAACUGCCUGUGUAUAAUGGUUUCUAGCUUCCCUGAAAAGUUGCAUAUCACGGGGACUGUUUGAUGCUAAUGCAGAACGCCAUAGGAUGUUUUUGUGUUGGUUAAGGGCAGUCAGGUCUGGGAAGAACCAAGGGCUAUAUCUGUUCCUGGUUCUAAAUUUCUUGAAUGGGGCAUGCUUAUUUAAGAUGGUUAGGAAGGCAUUUAAAAAAAAUAACCAGGCAUACUCUACUGAUGGGAUGACAUUUGACAGUGAUGAGUGGAGGUCGUUUGACCGCUGACCCAUUACGGAUGCAGGCAAUGAGGCAGUGAUCGCUGAGAUCUUGGUUGAAGACAGCAGAGGUGUAUUUAGAGGGCAAGUUGGGUGCCCGUGUUUACGGCUUUGGGGAGGUACCUGGUAGGUUCAUUGAUAAUUUGUGUGAGAUUGAGGGCAUCAAGCUUAGAUUGUAGGAUGGCUGGGGUGUUAAGCAUGUUCCAGUUUAGGUCGCCUAGCAGCACGAGCUCUGAAGAUAGAUGGGGCGCAAUCAGUUCACAUAUGGUGUCCAGAGCACAGCUGGGGGCAGAGGGUGGUCUAUAGCACGCGGCAACGGUGAGACUUGUUUUUAGAGAGGUGGAUUUUUUAAAGUAGAGGUUCAAAUUGUUUGGGUACAGACCUGGAUAGUAGGACAGUAGCCUACGACCAGUCCAAUAUAGACCUGUGUUAUACUGCCCAAUGCCACAAAAGGUUUGCUUUACUAUAAAACCACUGAUUGACACGGGAUACAAUCAUUAUCUUCAUCCCUGUCAUUUCACCGCACAUUAACGUAAAUUAUGGUCAUCGGCUUCACCAUGUAGCCUGUUACACAUGGGUUGUUGUCUCUGCAUUUGGUCCAUAAAAUAAUCCUCUCACUCCUGCCUGCAGUAAAUCAAGUAGAAAACUGCCAGCCUCAUAAUCCUGCUUCUCCUAAUGUAUUUAAUUAGUUGUGCCAACUGAGGCUAGGGUUAAGGUUAAUUAUAGGGUUGUGGUCAAUUCAGUAGAUGGACAAGAAGCUAGGGUUAGAAUUACAUUUUACAUUUAAGUCAUUUAGCAGACGCUCUUAUCGGGCUAGAGCCGACCUUAACCGUGACCAACUCUUAGCACUGUUUUCACGCUAUUAUAGUUAUUAAAUGCACUCUUACAGUUAAUUUAAUUUAAAUUGUUGAUAUUAUUGAAUUGUCUGUGUUCUUGUAUGUGUCUGAUGCACUGCUUCGGACUUUAAAGGGAAUGCCUCAAGGGAACAUAUUCAAUUGUUUAUUAGCCCCAUAUUACACAUUGAUCUACACAAUUUAGUCAUAAAUACAGUUGACUCUGGCUGCAUGCACUUUGGAAAACCACAGUUUGUUCAUAUAAAAUGAAUGCAAAUUGAUAUUAAAAGUAGUACAAAUAGAAUAUGUAAUUGUGACAAGAAAUGGUUACAUCAUAAUGAAUAAAUAUUCUGUUUCAUGGGAGAUAUUUUUCUAUAACACAGACACCUGUAAUGUUGACAUUCUGCAUGCAUUUUAAAAGAACAGUAGCAAAUUCAUGAGUCUUAACUGGCACGUAUUGACUCUCACUAGUAACUUGACCUUGAAAACUUGCCCAAGCAAUGUCAAGGUUUCACCUUGUUGGGAAAAAUGUUGAACAGUAGAUGGAACUAUUGUAUCAUUAUUAUAUUUAAUAGGGUUAUAUUGGUGAUUUCCCUUGCCACUUUAUUGUUAAACCAAUGGGUUUUUGGUUUUAGUUUGGUCUUGCCUUCACCAACUUAACAUGGCAUCUUAUUGGCUGGUUUUCGUGGCUUGGUUACGAGGGAGGAUGUUUCAGUUGGAAUCGUCCCAGUGAACAAGCACCAAACCAGCGGUAAAUUGUUGGUUGCAAAGCACUGUACUGUCAAAUGUGAUUUUUAUACACGCAAGUGAUGAUUUGAAUGUACAAUUUAUAUCAAUUUGUUUGUAAAUGUUAUUAGAAAAUCACACAUAAGAUGGAGCGUUUUUUGUGCAUAUUUGUUCUGCAUUUUGUUGUAGAGAAUUCCAGCUAAUGCUAGCUAGUAACUUUUAAAAUUUUUAAUUUGACCUUUAUUUAACCAGGCAAGUCAGUUAAGAACAAAUUCUUAUUUUCAAUGACGGCCUAGGAACAGUGGGUUAAAUGCCUGUUCAGGGGCAGAACGACAGAUUUGUACCUUGUCAGCUCAGGGAAUUGAACUUGCAACCUUUCGGUUACUAGUCCAACGCUCUAACCAAUAGGCUACACUGCCGCCCCAUAUGAAAUGAUAAGGGACAAAAGGUGGCGUGCCAGUGCACGGUGACACGGCGGUGUGGGUAUGGUGUUAUGGGAACGAAUAUACAGUGUAUAUUCAAAGUCUUAUUCAAUUGGAAAGGCAAAAGGCAUCAUGAGUUAUGUGAGCUGGGCAAUUAGCUUUCAGAAUGCGAUUGUUGUCACUGCUUAAUAACUGUUAAAUGGAGUGGUGUUUUCCAAAGUUGACAUUGGCAUUAUCUGCUGCAUAGGCUGUGAUGUGUCUAAUAUCCAGUUCAUGCUUUUCCAGACAGUUCAUCAGAGCUUGAUGGAUGCCAUUUGCAGUUUCAUCACUGUCUUCAUAAAAGUCAAGUAACUUGCACUGCACUCCAUCAAACACAGAGAAAUAUCUCACACACACUGGAAACAUGUUUCUAUUUCCCUUGUUUGAGGCAUCAAUGGCACCUGAGAAAUACACUGGCUCACCUUACGUAGGAGGCAGAUAAUCAUUUUCCACAGUAGACGUCACGAAGAAUGCGCCAAUAUUGCUAUCACCUUUAGCUAGCGUGGCCUUCUUGUGCAUUUCUGUGGAUCCAUGCCGAGUUAGGUCACAUUCCCCUCCAUGGCCAAUUGAGAAAUCCUGACAGCAUAAAGUACAGAAAACUUUCGUCGAGUCACCACUGACAGCCUUAACCCACGUCUAUUUUGCUUCCCAUUGUGUGUUGUAGCUGCACAGUCUUUUUUUUAGCAGGUUUAUCCAUAUUUCCUUGAUAUGUCAAACCGACCAAACAACAACAGAAAUUACGUUGCAGGAAUUGGCACAUUUACGCUACACUGUGAUUGGAUGAAUAUACGGGACAAGGGAGAUCCCGUCUGGGAUAAACCAAUUUAGCCCAAUAUAAGGGACAUCCCAUCUAAUACGGGACAGUUGGCAACCCUAGAGCCGUGCAUUUUUGUGAUGUUUUUAUCAGAAUAAAUGUCCAUGACUGGUGUUACAAGUUGGAGUUCGUGUCGAUGAUUGACUGUACACAACGUAAGAAGAGUACUGUUACAGUGGUGCCGUGACCGUUUUUCUGGAUCGGAUCAACCUUCGCUGGAUUUCCAUCUCAGAACUUCGCCGUGGUUCCCAUUCGGGGAUCAGAUAAGACGUUGCUGAUGCAGUUUAUCGCAUUUUUCCACAAGAAGGUGCCACUGCAGCAUUUCUUUUUUUUUCAUUACUGAAAUUGAUGAUUUCUCUGAUUGAGUGUCAUGCAUAGGUGUAAUAGGUGGCAGGGAAGUCAGGAGAAUCAACUGGAGUGUAAAUAUGGAGUCUUUUAAUAAAGUUCCAAGAGUAUGCUCCAUAACAAUAAAUGUACAAACAAACAAAACAUGGGUACGAGGACCCGACGCGCACCUAUACAAACAAUCACACUACACUGACAACAAAUCAAUCUCUGACAAAGACAUGAGGGGAAACAGAGGGUUAAAUACACAACAGGUAAUGAAUGGGAUAGAAAACAGGUGUGUGGGAAGACAAGACAAAACCAAGGGAAAAUGAAAAAAGGAUCAAUGAUGGCUAGAAGACCGGUGACGUCGAACGCCGAGCACCGCCCGAACAAGGAGAGGCAACGACUUCGGCAGAAGUCGUGACAUUGAGACUUUCUAUAUUGAUUGGGACUUUCUCUUCAUGGAUAAACGAUAUAACUUUUGUGUUCCAUGUCUAUUUGCAAUUCUAACGUAUAUAACUAGGGUGAGUUUUACCAGUGUGCUAGAUAUAGGUUACAUUUUAGUGUGUUAUAUAUAUAUAUAUAUAUAUACAAUUUUUUUUCUUCUAUUUGCAUUUUUGUUUUAGUGUGUUGAUUUCCCAUUAUUAACUUCUCAGUGAUCCCUUCGCGCGCCAAUCCCGUUAACGGGAUUGAUUUGACAACACCCAGUGAAAUAGCAGCGCGUCAAAUUCAAAAACAGAAAUACUCAUAAUAAUAAUUCAUAAAUCAUACAAGUGUUAUACAUCGGUUUAAAGAUUAACUUCUUGUUAAUCCAGCCACAGUAUCAGAUUUCAAAACGGCUUUAUGGCAAAAGCAAACUAUGCUCUUAUCUGAGGACAGCACUCCAUCAAAUAAACACAUGAAAAUCAUAAUUCAACCCGUCAUGCGCAACACAAAAGUCAGAAAUAAUGAUAUAAGUCAUGCCUUACUUACAUUUGAAGAUCUUCUUCUGUUGGCACCUCAAUAUGUCCAUUAAACAUCACAAAUGGUCAUUAUGUUCGAUUAAUUCUGUCGUUAUAUCCCCAAAAUGUCAAUUUAUUUGGCACAUUUGAUUCUGAAAAUACACUGGUUCCAACUCUCGCAACAUGGCUACAAAGUAUCUAAUAAGUUACCUGUAAACUUGAUCCAAACAUUUCAAACAACUUUCCAAAUCCAACUUUAGGUAUUUUUAAAAGUAAAUAAUCAAUCAAAUUUAAGACGGAAUAAACUGUGUUCAAAACAAAGCGGAGCAAGCUUUCAGGUUGUGCGCCCCAACCACAACAGUACACUAGACUCGACCCUCGUUCUGAACAGCCCUACUACUUAAUUUCUCAAAGGAAAAACAUCAACCAAUUUCUAAAGACUGUUGACAUCUAGUGGAAGUGAUAGGAACUGCAAGAAAGUGCCUUAGACAUCUAGAUCCACAUAGAAAAACUUUGAAAAGAGUGACCUCAAAUAUUUUUUUCCUGGAUGGUUUAUCCUCGGGGUUUCGCCUGCCAAAUAAGUUCUGUUAUACUCACAGACAUAAUAUUAACAGUUUACAUUUUUUUGAGUGUUUUCUUUCCAAAUCUACCAUAUGCAUCUAUUAUAUGCAUAUUCUAGCUUCUGGGCCUGAGUAGCAGGCAGUUUACUUUGGGCGUGCUUUUCAUCCGGAUGUGAAAAUACUGCCCCCUAGCCUUAAAACCUCUUAGAGCUACCCCCCCUACUUUUUUCAAUUUCCGCCUGAAGACAUACCCAAAUCUAACUGCCUGUAGCUGUGGCCAAGAAGCAAGGAUAUGCAUAUUCUUUGUACCAUUUGAAAGAAAACACUCUGAAGUUUGUGUAAAUGUGAAUUGAAUGUAGGAGAAUAUAACACAAUAGAUCUGGUUUAGAUAAUACAAUGAAAAAAAACAUCUGUUUUUUCUUUUUUCUUGUUGUAUCAUCAUCUUUAAAAUGAACAAGAUAAAACAAACAUUCAGAUAGGAUGAUGGGACAAUUUCAGUGAAAAAUAUAAGAGGGCAACAGUACUUGUGCAAAGUUUCAGAAUGAUAACUUCCAAAAUGAGUGUGCUACAUGACAUUUAUCAUGAAGUCACCCAAGUGUCCCACACAAGUAGCCCAAAUGUACCCAAGUGGCCAAAUUGGUGAAUGUAUACAUUUUGAAACAAAUAACUAUAUACAAAAUGCCAAAAUGGUAUUCUAACACACCCCUCCAAAAAAUGGAGAAAACAAUAUGAAGAAAAAAAUAUAUACAUUUACAAAACAACAUGGGUAACUAUUUACACACUUUCAAUAUUUGGAAGACCCCCGGUCCUCUAUCAAAUCAAAUGUAUUUAUAUAGCCCUUCGUACUACAUCAGCUAAUAUCUCAAAGUGCUGUACAGAAAACCAGCCUAAAACCCCAAACAGCAAGCAAUGCAGGUGCAGAAGCACGGUGGCUAGGAAAAACUCCCUAGAAAGGCCAAAACCUAGGAAGAAACCUAGAGAGGAACCAGGCUAUGAGGGGUGGCCAGUCCUCUUCUGGCUGUGCCGGGUGGAGAUUAUAACAGAACAUGGCCGAGAUUUUCAAACGUUCAUAGACGACCAGCAGGAUCAAAUAAUAAUAAUCACAGUAGUUGUAGAGGAUGCAACAGGACAGCACCUCAAGAGUAAAUAUGAACAGUUUAGGGUUCUAUAGCCGCAGACAGAACUGUUGAAACUGGAACAGCAGCAAGGCCAGGUGGACUGGGGACAGCAAGGAGUCAUCAUGCCAGGUAGUCUUGACGCAUGGUCCUGGGCUCAGGUUCUCAGAGAGAGAGAGAGAGAGAGAGAGAGAAUUAGAGAGAGCAUACUUAAAUUCACACAGGACACCGGAUAAGUCAGAAGAAGUACUCCAGAUAUAACAAACUGACCCUAGCCCCCCAAAACAUUAAUACUGGAGGCUGAGACAGGAGAAGUCAGGAGACACUAUGGCCCCAUCCGAUGAGACCCCCGGACAGGGCCAAACAUGAAUGAUAUAACCCCACCCACCCACCCAAAGCUCAAAACAAUAUUGUGCUGCUGAUGCCAGGUGCCAUAGCAGUCUCUUUCUGCUGUAAAGUGAGUAUGAACAGGUAUAAUAAACAGAUAUACAGUGGGGCAAAAAAGUAUUUAGUCAGCCACCAAUUGUGCAAGUUCCCCCACUUAAAAGAUGAGAGAGGCCUGUAUAAUUUUCAUCAUAGGUACACUUCAACUAUGACAGACAAAAUGAGAAGAAAAAAAAAUCCAGAAAAUCACAUUAACAAUCCUACAAUGAAUUUAUUUGCAAAUUAUGGUGGAAGUAUUUGGUCAAUAACAAAAGUUUCUCAAUACUUUGUUAUAUACCCUUUGUUUGCAAUGACAGAGGUCAAACGUUUUCUGUAAGUCUUCACAAGGUUUUCACACACUGUUGCUGGUAUUUUGGCCCAUUCCUCCAUGCAGAUCUCCUCUAGAGCAGUGAUGUUUUGGGGCUGUUGCUGGGCAACACAGACUUUCAACUCUCUCCAAAGAUUUUAUAUGGGGUUGAGAUCUGUAGACUGGCUAAGCCACUCCUUCAUUGCCCGGGCGAUGUGUUUGGGAUCAUUGUCAUGCUGAAAGACCCAGCAACGUUUCAUAUUCAAUGCCCUUGCUGAUGGAAGGAGGUUUUCACUCAAAAUCUCAAGAUACACGGCCCCAUUCAUUCUUUCCUUUACACGGAUCAGUCGUCCUGGUCCCUUGGCAGAAAUCAUGCUUUGGGGCAGUUUGUUUCCACCCCCAUGCUUCCCAGUAGGUAUGGUGUUCUUUGGAUGCAACUCAGCAUUCUUUGUCCUCCAAACACGACGAGUUGAGUUUAACAAAAAAGUUCUAUUUUGGUUUCAUCUGACCAUAUGACAUUCUUCCAAUCUUCUUCUGGAUCAUCCAAAUGCUCUCUAGCAUACUUCAGACGGGCCUAGACAUGUACUCGCUUAAGCAGGGGGACAUGUCUGGCACUGCAGGAUUUGAUUCCCUGACGGCGUAGUGUGUUACUGAUGGUAGGUUUUGUUACUUUGGUCCCAGCUCUCUGCAGGUCAUUCACUAGGUCCCCCCGUGUGUUCUGGGAUUUUUGGUCACCGUUCUUGUGAUAAUUUUGACCCCACGGGGUGAGAUCAUGCAUGUAGCCCCAGAUCGAGGGAGAUUAUCAGUGUUCUUGUAUGUCUUCCAUUUCAGAAUAAUUGCUCCCACAGUUGAUUUCUUCAAACCAAGCUGCUUACCUAUUGCAGAUUCAGUCUUCCCAGCCUGGUGCAGGUCUACAAUUUUGUUUUCAGUGUCCUUUGACAGCUCUUUGGUCUCGGCUAUAGUGGAGUUUAGAGUGUGACUGUUUGAGGUUGUGGACAGGUGUCUUUUAUAUUGACAACAAGUUCAAACAGGUGCCAUUAGGUAACGAGUGGAGGACAGAGGAGCCUCUUAAAGGUGAAGUUACAGGUCUGUAAGAGCCAGAAAUCUUGCUUGUUUGUAGGUGACCAAAUACUUAUUUUCAAAUAAAUUCAUUAAAAAUACUACAAUGUGAUUUUCUGGAUUUUUUUUCUCACAUUUUGUCUGUCAUAGUUGAAGUGUACCUAUGAUGAAAAUUACAGGCCUCUCAUCUUUUUAAGUGGGAGAACUUGCACAAUUGGUGGCUGACUAAAUACCUUUUUGCCCCACUGUAUAUAUAGAGUAAAGGGAACAUAAGGUUGAAUAUAUUAUUAUUGACCUGCUAGAUCUAGUCUCUUUUAUAUUAUGACAUUUCAGCUAGAUCUACUGUCUCUAUUAUAUUAUGACAGACCAGCUAGAUCUACUGUCUUUAUUAUAUUACAACAGACCAGCUGUAUCUACUGUUUCCAUUUCACUUUGGCCAUUGAUGUGGUCCUGCCCUCUCCUCAACAGCCUCAAAUAGGCCAUUUCAUGUGGGUUGGGGUGGGGCGGCAGACACAGUUCAUUGCAUUACAUUUUUAUAUAUUGCUUAUAAAAUAAAAUAAAUCACAAAUAAUAUUUUAUAUUAAUAAUUUCAAACAAGGGCAUCAGCAUGAGAAGAACUUACCAGUCCAAAACAUGUCCUCUCCAUUCCAAAAAUAUUCCUCCACUUGGGAAUCGCUAAAUGAAUCGUCCUACAACAAUCUCAGUCUUACUUUUCUGAUCAAUUUAUUCUAAAAUUGUGUACAUCUGUAUAUCUAGACUUAGAUUUAGCUUUCCCUGACUUAGUCGCCAUAAUGAUUGAUAUAUAAACAGCUGAAUCUGCACGUUUACGAAAACAAUGCUGUGCGCAACAUGCGUGCGUAUUAUGUGUAGCUCCUUCCGGAAUUAACGCUGGAUUUUACGACAUGGGUUGGUCUUCCAACACACAACCAUUGCAUAUUGCCGUUGAACUCAGCUCAUUGGCUAUGUACCCAGCUAGAUUUCGUUGGGUUAAAAUACAGUCAAUCAACGAAACAGUGGUCAUAUCAUUGGUGCACAGUGAUGUCAUUACUUCAAAUCGGUUUCUUUCAGUCAAUACGUCCCGCGAAAUGGCCCAUCAGGUUUGGUUGUGUUACAAACAAAGCAGUUGAUUGCAAUGAAACCAAACAUGACUGGAAAAGUCACAUUUUGUGUGGGUUAUUUACCUGGAAUGUGUCGUCGAAAAUGGAAUGAGACGGAAUUCACGACACAAGCGGUUCACAAAAUGAUUUUUAUCAAACAAAAGAUCAUUCAUUGUGUAACAAUGAGCAUUGGGAUUGCAAACAGACGAAGAUCGUCAAAGGUAAACUAUUUAUUUUAAUGCAGUAUGUGAUUUUGUUACGCCUGUGCUGGUUAAAAUUGUUUGUUUUUUAUGGGGCUCUCUCUCUCCUCAGAUAAUCGCAUCGUAUUAUUUUGGAGUAAAUCCUUUUUUAAAUCUGACAACGCAGUUGGAUUAGCAAGAUUCUAGGCUUUCGAUACAUGUGAGACACUUGCAUUUCCAUGAAUGUUUAAUAUGACUAUUUAUGUAGCGAUCACCGUAUGUUGUGGAAUUUCAGCCCGCUACCGGGUUCCGUGCUCAGACAGGUUAAGAAGUUAAGUUACAAGGUGUUGGGAGAGUUAGAGAUUUCCUGACAUUUAAUCUGUCACCAUCUGUUGGUAGGGGUUCAGCCAAAAUUCAAGUUGCUUCUACACCUAUGCCUAAAAUGGAGGGUUUUGGGAGUUUUGAUGAUAUUUUCCCCAUGGAAACACCCACGGAUGUGAAUGAAAGGUUUGCAGGGAGUGGCGAGGUAUCCAUGGAUUUCAUAGCAGACAUUGUACAGCAGAUUGUACAGGUCAUUCCAUUGGGGAAAACAUUGCCUCCUGUUUGGAGUCAAAGGCAAUUGUUGGACAUGUUGGGAACAAUGUUAUGGGGAAUGCAUGCAGCUCCAGGGCUCUCAGGGAGCCAGUGUACUUCAGGGGGGAUGGCUCUGAAAACUGCACAGUGCAUGAGUGGGAGGAUAUGGUCAUGGUUUACAUACGUGUAAUGACAUUGCAGUGUUCAUUCAAGAUUCCUACAAGCGCAUGAAGCUAUGGGAGAAAACCAGUGAGGACAGAAGACACAGAUGGCUUGAUGAAAAUGGUGAAACACGCUGUUUGGCCAAAGACAAGGAUUUGAGGAAAGUAUUUGGAAGCUUUGCAAAGCCUAACCGUGCACUUUACACAGAUGUAGUUAUCACUUGGAAAUAAUUGAAAAGGGUGUGAUCCUAAAACCUACCUUCCGAAGCAAGGCCAAAGGGUACAGGGUUGCUCUCCUAAAACUACUUACAGCUGAGGUUUUUCUCAGAAGUCCCCUCUCUCUAAAUACUUGCGAACAAGUGGCAUGGAUAUCAUAACAGCACAGCACUUGGUAACAGGAAUGGAGGAUAACCUGAGAAAGUAUGCCCAAGACUUUGAGGGUGUGAAGAGGGCAGCAGACGACUUUGUUGAGUGGGCCAAUGGCAUUCUGGAGGAGUAGUAGGACUGUGAUGCCAAAGCUCAGACUGCUCUCCGAGAGAAGAGAACAAAAAAAGAAGAGAACCAGGUGAGUUGGCAGAAGAUGAGCCCAUUCUUAAUGCAGACAGACAAAUUCAAGAUCCACAAUGUGGUACUGGACACUGUUGUUGAAAGUAUCCACUGCCAUUAUGCAGCAAAUGCAGUGCUGUGUGCAGAUGUCUCCUGCAUGAAUCCAAAGCAGUUUCCUGAGAUCAGUGAAAAGGGCCUUCCAAAGACAGCCAUGAAGGAGCUCAGCAAAUGCUUACUGGAAUUUGAUGAACAUGCCACUGUUGGGGCAUUGCAGGCUGAACUGAUCAGCCUUGCACAACAGUGGAAAAGACUGAAACAGUAAGCAUUGAUGGAGUACAACACCAGGGCUGCCGCCGCCAGUGAUAAAUCAGGGGAAGGCUUUGAGGAUCCUGAUCAAAGUGUGGAGAUGGUGAGCACAAGUUGUUCCUCAUGUAAAAACCGCCCAAUAUGCUAAGGGUUGCUAAGCUAUGACUCUUGCUUAACAGGCUGACAUGGUGAAAUAAAAUUCGCUGUGAUUUAAAGCUUUUGUACAGAGGCAUGUUUUUUGGACUUUUGUAUUAUACAGUGGUUCCUCCUUUAAAAGUUGCGAGCUUACACCGCGGAACUUAGAGGUACCCAACAUCACUGCCUCAUUGCUCCAGACCACCACAAGGGGGAGUUAGAGCACUCAUUGUGCAUUUGGAUCGCAAGGUAUUAUAUGACCAAUCAUAUUGAGUGGUUCCAAUGACGAAUUUGAAGCGGGCCACCUAUCCCUGGUGACUUAAGCAAAGAUGGCUUACAAAACAUUACGGGAAGCAAAUGUAAGUAAUUAUAUCAUCAUACCGAGUCAAGAAAAAAAUGUACAAUUGAGAGGAGUAUGUUAGUUAAUUGCCAUUUUUUUUAUCAAAGUUCAUUUACGAAAAAUCGCUAUUUAGCAAGUUUUAUUCCAGCCUUAUCCAAUACACUUCAACAGUGUUUACCACUCCUGCUCCUGGCUAUUUGCUCUGAGACUGGCAUAAUAAUUUAAUGAAACAAGCAGGGAGCAGGUUUCAAACCCUCAACAUUCUAGCCCGAAGUCCAGCACGCUGCCUGCCGACUGUAAACCAAAUGUAUCAAUUGCGGUUGGGGACAAUUGUGGUUAAAAACACUUUAUCAAUUGGAAUCUUUAACAUGUGGAAAGGGAAAAAUAAUUAUUAUUUGUUUUUCACAAGCAUAACAGGUGGGCUAUUAGCUGAACAAUAGACUAUUCAAACUUUACUAAUAGCCUAGAUAGGUGUGAACCCCCCCUCCCCUCCCCAACUUGAGCUAGUUGUGGAAACCCCCCUCCCCAACUUGCAACAAAUCAUUUUCAGGACUAUCUAGAAAAAGCAGUGAAGACACGCAAUAGCUUUCUAAGAAGAGGCUAUUCUCCAAAAUAUGUGGAUGAAGCUCUUAAUUUGGAAUUGAAGAAAACACAAGAUGAACCGCUACAAAAACACCCGCUAAAGCUAAAGAACACUCUGUAAUGUUCACAACUACAUCAAGAAACACUGGCAUGUUUUAUCAUCUGACCCAGCUUUGCCUGCUGAAUUUAGGAAUCCACCACUUAUUGUAUAUAGGAGAGGUCGCAAUUGACGCAAUAAAUUGGUCCAUGCCAACUGCCAGCCUCAAAAGAAAAUCUGCCAGGCUCUUUCACGCCCUCUUCCAAGCUAUAAAUGCAGAGGUUACACACAGUACAACAAAAGUAUUACGUGUAAAUAUUUCUGCCACCCACAUACAGGAAAACAGUUCCAAAUAUAUGACAUUAUUACGUGCUCCACCACCCAUGUUAUUUACAUUAUUAAAUGUCCUUGUGGGCUGUGCUAUGUGGGAAAACGUCUCGUUCUCUAAAAACAGAGAAUCAGUGAACAUAAAAAUUUAAUUAGGAGAAAUGAUAGAGAUUAUCCAGUUGCAGUACAUUUUAAUGACCUAAAACAUGACAUUUCUACAUUUUAGAUUUUGUGACAUAAGAGAAAGUUAAGAUAUCAGACAGGGGAGGUGAUAUAAAUAAAACUCUGAGUAAAAGAGAAUGUUUUGGGAUUUUCUCUCUCCAGACAUUAUUUCCUAAAGCUAUUAAUGAUGAAAUGCCUAUGUAUGUUAUGUUGUAAAUUUGAACAUGAAUUAUGCCCCUAUUUCAAAUUACUCUGACAUUUUUCUUACAAUGAUCUAUGAAAACUUUCUUGGUAGGUUGAUGUUCUCAUUGUAAUUCUACAUUGUAAAGUGUAUACAUUUUAUGUAUACACUUUAUUUUAAUAUUUAUGAAAUGCAUAUUGUUAUAUUUGGUAGCACUUGUUUUUCCUUUGCCUCCAACCCCUUUCGAUGUGUGGAACGGAUGUGGGUGUGGUUAGGUCUACAUAUGUGUGCUAAUUUUAAAUGUAUUCGAUACUUAAGUACUCCAAAGUGUUACAUUUCGAACUCAAAACAACAUUUCUUCAUCAACAUCUGUAUGCUUUCAUUAAUCUUCUUGAUAUUCUUCCUUUUUAGCUGUAGCAAUUUUGAGCAAAUUGCUCAAGGGCCACGGUGGAUUUGUUUGUGAAGAUGACGUUAUUGAAUAUCUCGCCAGGUUUGAUCCAUGCCUGGGCCUGCAGGACACAAAGUGCUUUGUUUGUCAGACGAAUCAUUGUGUCGAAACUACAGAACAGAACAAGCGAACACACGUGGUUAAACUGAACAAAGAGAAGACCUGUGUAGAUCUGGAGAUCUCCUCUGUUGAAGUGAGAGACUGCUCUGUUCUACUGUACUGUACAAUGACAGGACACUGAGAAACACUGUACAUAAACCAUACAACACUCUGCUGCAACACAUAUCUUAUUGACUCAACAGUGAGCUGAAUUUCAUGGAUAUACAAGCAUCUGCCGUCUUCUGUUAGACCACAUUGCCACCAAGUGGAUUCUCUAGUGAAUAAAUCAAAUGUAUAUUUAUUUAACUAGGCAAGUCAGUUAAGAACAAAUUCUUAUUUUCAAUGACGGCCUGGGAACAGUGGGUUAACUUGCCUGUUCAGGGGCAGAACGGCAGAUGUGUACAUUGUCAGCUCGGGGUUUUGACCUUGCAACCUUUCGGUUACUAGUCCAACGCUCUAACCACUAGGCUACACUGCCGCCCCAUAUGAAAUGUCUUUGAUUCUAUAUUGUCAGUAGGAGGAGCUAGAGUAUAAAACUCAGGAUUAGAUCAUGAAUCCUCAAGAUAAGACAUGAUACUACCAUGAACAUCAUAGCCAGUAGAUGCUGUGCAUUUCAUCAGCAGUUGGUGCUUCUUCUACACAUCCUGCCAUUUACAAUGUUGUUCUGUUCACUUUUACUCUUCUUUGACUUGAUAGGUGUCAGUUCUGAACAGGAAUUAACACCCUACACUGAUGUAGAAGUGUCUUCAGAAAGGGACAGAGUUACUCUCUCUUGUAACUACACCUCCUCUGUUAACACUCUUCUAUGGUAUCGACAACAUCCCAAAUCAGCACCACAGUUACUG